GGACUACUGGGGUAUCUAAUCCUGUUUGAUCCCCACGCUGUCGCGCCUGAGCGUCAGAAAUGAGCCAGUGAGCCGCCUUCGCCACCGGUGUUCUUCCCAAUAUCUACGAAUUUCACCUCUACACUGGGAAUUCCACUCACCUCUCUCAUCCUCAAGUCUUACAGUUUCAAUGGCAAUUCCGGAGUUGAGCUCCGGGCUUUCACCACUGACUUGAAAGACCGCCUGCGCGCGCUUUACGCCCAGUAAUUCCGAACAACGCUAGCCCCCUUCGUAUUACCGCGGCUGCUGGCAC
rnacentral:rRNA from 1 species